rnacentral:misc_RNA from 1 species
GAAAUGCGAUAAGUAGUGUGAAUUACAGAAUUCAGUGAAUCAUCGAAUCUUUGAACGCACAUUGCGCCCCUUGGUAUUCCAUGGGGCAUGCCUGUUCGAGCGUCAUUUGUACCCUCGAGCUCUGCUUGGUGUUGGGUGUUUGUCCCCGUCUCCGCGCGUGGACUCGCCCCAAAGUGAUUGGCAGCCGGCGUACUGGUCCCGGAGCGCAGCACAUGUCGCGCAAACGAGUGCCUUGGUACGGCGGCGUCCAUAAGCCCCUCUCUCACGCUCUUGACCUCGGAUCAGGUAGGGAUACCCGCUGAACUUAAGC